UGGUUUAUGUUCCAAAUGAUUUAUCGCCGUAGGAUGGGACUGCGGCCUAUCAGUUUGUUGGUGAGGUAAUGGCCCACCAAGACUAUUACAGGUACGGGCUCUGAGAGGAGUGGCCCGGAGAUGGGUACUGAGACACGGACCCAGGCCCUAUGGGGCGCAGCAGGCGAGAAAACUUUGCAAUGUGCGAAAGCACGACAAGGUUAAUCCGAGUGGUUUGUGCUAAACGAACCUUUUGUCAGUCCUAGAAACACUAACGAAUAAGGGGUGGGCAAGUUCUGGUGUCAGCCGCCGCGGUAAAACCAGCACCUCAAGUGGUCAGGAUGAUUAUUGGGCCUAAAGCAUCCGUAGCCGGCUCUGUAAGUUUUCGGUUAAAUCUGUACGCUUAACGUACAGGCUGCCGGGAAUACUGCAGAGCUAGGGAGUGGGAGAGGUAGACGGUACUCGAUAGGAAGGGGUAAAAUCCUUUGAUCUAUUGAUGACCACCUGUGGCGAAGGCGGUCUACCAGAACACGUCCGACGGUGAGGGAUGAAAGCUGGGGGAGCAAACCGGAUUAGAUACCCGGAUAGUCCCAGCUGU
rnacentral:rRNA from 1 species